AUGGGGAGCAAGUCAUUAAGCAGCGUUCUUCUGUGGUCUCUACUUAGACUUCACUUCCAGGAUCCUGCCUUGAGCUCCUGCCCUGACUGCCCUUGAUGAUGGACUGUAACCUGUAACCCAAACAAAGCCAAGCUGCUUUUGGUCAGUGUUUUAUCACAGCAACAGAAAGCCAACUAGAACACUUUUUGCUAGAGUACUCUGGACUGGACUUACAGAGACUUGUAAAGUCGAAGAUGGGCCUAAACAUCCUAGAGAGGCUGGAGAUCAUGUGGCAAUAAAAGUGCUUGGAGAUCCAGCGGUGGAAAGUUCUGGGAAGAGAACAGCACUUUGCAUAUGGGAGGCCAAUUUCCCAUCACUCAUCACUGAGGCUUGCAGAACAUAUUGAAGGCAUCAGGAAAUCUUACCCAUCAACAUUUGUACAACUUUGCUUCUAUUUUUAUUAGUGAAAAUGAGAGAAUUUUCUUUUAUCUAUUUGUGGUAUAUAAGCAUACUCACAGGAAGUCUUAUGGUGUGCAGGUCAGAGAACUACUGUGAGAAUCAGUUCUUUCUUUCCCUUCUGUGGGUUCUGGGGAUAAAGCUCAGGUUGUCAGGCUUGGGAGUAGGUGCUCUUAAUCACUGAGCCAUCUCACUGGCACUCAAAAAUUUCUUUCUGUUAAAUCAUAUUUUAUAACUAUAUCCUUCAAACUUCUUUAAUGAAAUAUUUGAUAUUAUAGUUGUGCUGGCAAUGUAAAAAAAACUUGUGGUACUUUUGCUUUUUCUAUGUCCUGGACUACUUUAGCAAAAGAACAAUGUUUUUAAAGAUUAUCCAAAAAUUUUCAGCAGGUCACCAAAAGUCUUAUAGCAAAAUCUAACAAAGAUGGUAUAAAAGGAAAACUAUAGGCUACAUCUUCCUUGAACACAGAUGAAAGUCUUAUGCAAAUUGAAUCCAACAAUGUGUAAAAUGCACAAAUACAUCUUUGGUGGCUAAUUUUAAACUUGACCACCUAGAAACACUGGAAAGAAAGUCUUAACUGAAGAAUCGUCUCAAUAAGGUUGAACUGUGGGCAUGUCUGUAAGGGAUUGUCUUAAUUCUUAACAGGGGUGGGAAAACCAAGCCCACUGUGGUGAUUCCAUUCUCUAUGUCAGGGGUGUUGAACAGUAUAAGAGGAAAAAGCCAACUGAGACAAACAAGCAAGGAUGUGCUCAUCCUCUCUUUGCUCUUGACCUUGAAUAUGAUGUGAUGAGCUGCUGCCAUGACUUCCCUGCUGUGAUGGACUGCCACCUGGAAUAAUGAGUCAGUCAAUUGCUUCCCCUGCAGGCUGCUCUUUGGUUAGGGUGUUAAGACACAGCAACAGAAAUGAAGUAAAAUUAGAUCUUUUUCAUUAGUGACAGGUUGGUUUCCUGUUAUGGUAAAUUAACCUAAUUUACCACAAUAAAAGAAUUAAGACAAAAA